GCUGGGGACAGGACAGAUGAGGCAGAAGGGGAGGUUAGGGAGGUUUGAAGAGUGAGAAGAACUUCUGCAGUGGCUGACUUGGAAGAUGAAGGAGGUUAUGAACCAGGGAAUGGGGGCAGCCUCUAGAGGCUGAGAACCUGCUGACACCUACCCACAACCGCUAAGGAAAUGAAGACUUUAAUUCCACAACUGCAUGCAACUAAACUCAGCCAACAACCUGAAUAAGUCGGAAAAAGGCUUCUCCAGAGCCUCCAGAUAAGAGGCCAGGCUGGCGACACCUUGAUUUUGACCUUGUGAGACCUAGAGCAGAGAAACUAGCCAAGAUCACUCAGACUUCUGAUCUACAGAACUGUGAGACCGUAAAUUUAUGUUGUAUUAAGCCACUAAUUGCGUGGGAAUUUGUUACAGGAGCAAUAGAAAAUGAAUACACCUUCUGAUGUAGUUUAAUCAGUUGACAUUAGGGGUGACACCAAGAUGUGCUACACUGAACCCAACUUCUGCAUGUUUAAGACAAGACGCAAGGUCAAAAAUUUACAUCAGGUAUCUGAAUGUGUAGCAUAUACAACUGAGUGUUGAAAGAAGACAAAAUCGUUUUCAUCACGAAGAAUAUGUGCUCAGUAAGAAUCAGAAUGUUCAAUUGUGUGAAGGUGGGAGAUGGGAAGAUUGGUAUUAUGGCCUGGAUCCAGAAAUCAGAUCACGAAGAAGUUUUUUACAAUGAGCAGAACACUCAACCUGAAAGCAGAAUGGAUUGAGUCACUGCAGCGUGGCAGUGGAAUGGUGUUUGAUGUUGGCAAAGGAAACAUGUACUUCUAGACUGGACAGUUUUCCCUUAGUUUACAGUUUCCAAAUAGAGACAUCACUUUGAAAUAACAUGGAGAACAUACAUGGAUGUACUGAACGAAGAAUAAAGUCUGUGUUGCAGUCCUGUCUCCAUUGACUUUUACAAAUAUGGCUUUGGAUGAAUCACCUAAGUUUUAUUUUUGAGAAUUUACGCUUACCAUGUAUAAAAUGAUAUUGCUAAUAUGUUUGCUGCCUACCCCAUUGGGUUUUGUGAGGAAUAAAUGAUAAUGCUAAGAAAAAGGCAUUGAGAAUUAUAA
rnacentral:lncRNA from 1 species